rnacentral:rRNA from 1 species
AGUGAACGCUGGCGGUAGGCCUAACACAUGCAAGUCGAACGGCAGCACAGUAAGAGCUUGCUCUUACGGUUGGCGAGUGGCGGACGGGUGAGGAAUACAUCGGAAUCUACUUUUUCGGGGGGGAUAACGUAGGGAAAGUUACGCUAAUACCGCAUACGACCUACGGGUGAAAGCAGGGGAGCUUCGGACCUUGCCCGAUUGAAUGAGCCGGUGCCGGAUUAGCUAGUUGGCGGGGUAAAGGCCCACCAAGGCGACGAUCCGUAGCGGGUCUGAGAGGAUGAUCGGCCACACUGGAACUGAGACACGGUCCAGACUCCUACGGGAGGCAGCAGUGGGGAAUAUUGGACAAUGGGCGCAAGCCUGAUCCAGCCAUACCGCGUGGGUGAAGAAGGCCUUCGGGUUGUAAAGCCCUUUUGUUAGGAAAGAAAAGCAGCAGGUUAAUACCCCGCUGUUCUGACGGUACCCAAAGAAUAAGCACCGGCUAACUUCGUG